rnacentral:rRNA from 1 species
GAUGAACGCUGGCGGCGUGCCUAAUACAUGCAAGUCGAGCGAACAGAUAAGGAGCUUGCUCCUUUGACGUUAGCGGCGGACGGGUGAGUAACACGUGGGUAACCUACCUAUAAGACUGGGAUAACUUCGGGAAACCGGAGCUAAUACCGGAUAACAUUUGGAACCGCAUGGUUCUAAAGUGAAAGAUGGUUUUGCUAUCACUUAUAGAUGGACCCGCGCCGUAUUAGCUAGUUGGUAAGGUAACGGCUUACCAAGGCGACGAUACGUAGCCGACCUGAGAGGGUGAUCGGCCACACUGGAACUGAGACACGGUCCAGACUCCUACGGGAGGCAGCAGUAGGGAAUCUUCCGCAAUGGGCGAAAGCCUGACAGAGCAACGCCGCGUGAGUGAUGAAGGGUUUCGGCUCGUAAAACUCUGUUAUUAGGGAAGAACAAAUGUGUAAGUAACUGUGCACGUCUUGACGGUACCUAAUCAGAAAGCCACGGCUAACUACGUG